AGCGAACGCUGGCGGCAGGCCUAACACAUGCAAGUCGAACGGCUCUUCGGAGCAGUGGCGGACGGGUGAGUAACGCGUGGGAACGUGCCCUUUGGUUCGGAACAACACAGGGAAACUUGUGCUAAUACCGGAUGAGCCCUUCGGGGGAACGAUUUAUCGCCAUUGGAGCGGCCCGCGUUGGAUUAGGUAGUUGGUGGGGUAAAGGCCUACCAAGCCUACGAUCCAUAGCUGGUCCGAGAGGAUGAUCAGCCACACUGGGACUGAGACACGGCCCAGACUCCUACGGGAGGCAGCAGUGGGGAAGCUUGCGCAAUGGGCGAAAGCCUGACGCAGCCAUGCCGCGUGUAUGAUGAAGGUCUUAGGAUUGUAAAUACUUUCACCGGGGAAGAUAAUGACGGUACCCGGAGAAGAAGCCCCGGCUAACUUCGUGCCAGCCGCCGCGGUAAAAC
rnacentral:rRNA from 1 species